UNGGAGAGGAAAGUGGAAUUCCUAGUGUAGCGGUGAAAUGCGUAGAUAUUAGGAAGAACACCAGUGGCGAAGGCGACUUUCUGGACGAAAACUGACGCUGAGGCGCGAAAGCCAGGGGAGCGAACGGGAUUAGAUACCCCGGUAGUCCUGNCCGUAAACGAUGGGUACUAGGUGUAGGAGGUAUCGACCCNUUCUGUGCCGGAGUUAACGCAAUAAGUACCCCGCCUGGGGAGUACGACCGCAAGGUUGAAACUCAAAGGAAUUGACGGGGGCCCGCACAAGCGGUGGAGUAUGUGGUUUAAUUCGACGCAACGCGAAGAACCUUACCAGGUCUUGACAUUGAUGGACAGAACCAGAGAUGGUUCCUCUUCUUCGGAAGCCAGAAAACAGGUGGUGCACGGUUGUCGUCAGCUCGUGUCGUGAGAUGUUGGGUUAANNNNNNNNNNGAGCGCAACCCCUAUCUUAUGUUGCCAGCACUUUGGGUGGGGACUCAUGAGAGACUGCCGCAGACAAUGCGGAGGAAGGCGGGGAUGACGUCAAAUCAUCAUGCCCCUUAUGACCUGGGCUACACACGUACUACAAUGGGAGUUAAUAGACGGAAGCGAGAUCGCGAGAUGGAGCAAACCCGAGAAACACUCUCUCAGUUCGGAUCGUAGGCUGCAACUCGCCUACGUGAAGUCGGAAUCGCUAGUAAUCGCAGGUCAGCAUACUGCGGUGAAUACGUUCCCGGGCCU
rnacentral:rRNA from 1 species